GAAUUGAUGCCUCAGGUCAGGUUGAAA
rnacentral:piRNA from 1 species